CAUGAACUGCACUGCUGGAAAAGAUAUGUUUAAUUAUUAAUGGGAGCUAACUCCCUCCUCAGCCAGCCCCAGCAGGAGCAGCUGGCCUUCAGCAUGCCCUGAAAACCAUGAUCAAAAUGAGAUGUUUUCCAGGAGUCAGGCAGAGCAUUUAGAGCAGCAUUUGGCCAAAAGAGGUCGCUUCAGGGCUCCCUCCCGAGUACACAUUUGGUGAAGGGUUCUGGUUUCUUUAUGGUUUGUAGCUUUAGUCAGAUCAAAUGAGAUAAAAAGCCCAUUUUAAGCACCAUAUAUGAGUUGGUGGCCCUGCUGGAUCCAAUAAAGUAGAUUCUCUGUAAGAGUCAGAAAGUAAUCUUGUUCAAACAUAUUCUUCAAUGACUGAAAACUAAUAAUAUACAAAAAAUGCACAAAUGUUAACCUCAUAAUUUCCUCAUAUGCCGGUAUUUUUCCUUCCAGGAAACUUGUUCCCCUUCUUUAUGUGAAGAUGGAGUCCCUAGGGCUGUUUCGCCUUUUCCUGCUGUGAUGAAAACAGGGAGAGAUCUGCCAAAUCAGUACUGUAAAUCUCCAAGAGACCCUUCUCAAGAACAUUGCCAGCUGGGAUUGGAUAGGUGGGAUUAUGACAAUUUUGCAACAGCUCUGUUUCUGAUGAAGAAAAGUUCUCCCCUUUUGGUGGCCUGUAAGCACUACCUGAUCCUCUCACCUGAUGUUCAGCUUGUGCAUUUGUAACUGCUUUUCAGUGGUCAUAAAUCCUUUAUUAGAUAGUCAUUUAUAUACAGCUUAUAAAAAUAAGUAACAAAUGAAAUCAAAUAAAUGAAAAAAAGACACA
rnacentral:lncRNA from 1 species